UACGAAGGGGGCUAGCGUUGUUCGGAAUUACUGGGCGUAAAGCGCACGUAGGCGGACAUUUAAGUCAGGGGUGAAAUCCCGGGGCUCAACCCCGGAACGGCCUUUGAUACUGGGUGUCUUGAGUUCGGAAGAGGUGAGUGGAAUUGCGAGUGUAGAGGUGAAAUUCGUAGAUAUUCGCAGGAACACCAGUGGCGAAGGCGGCUCACUGGUCCGAUACUGACGCUGAGGUGCGAAAGCGUGGGAGGCAACAGG
rnacentral:rRNA from 1 species